rnacentral:lncRNA from 7 species
GGUCACCUAUUCACAUCAGGGGGCCACAACUGAGGAAACUUGGAACAAGGAUGCUUGAAAUGUAAAUCAAGUAAAUCUUUCAGUUCAGAUGAACUACAGGACUGUUCAGUUGUGCAUAACGGUAUAAAGGCAAGAAUGUGAACUUAAAAAUUAAUCCUAGCACUUCUGCUGUUCAUUUGGAGAUAAUGCCCUGAACUGAAAAAUACUGGAGUGUGAGAGGUGAGCCUAAAUUAAACUUGAAGUCCUGAGAAGAGCAAAAGAAACUUGAGUUAAGAGGAAAUAGAGGCAGUAUUAUUGACACUAUAUAAUGCAACCAUGAAACACUCUUCUCUGUCAGGUUGCCAACCUGUGUUGAAGACAGUCAUCAUAAGUACAGUGAUAACUACAAAAGAUGACUUGGAAGUUCUGGAGGUCUAGUCUCAUGUAAAAAAAAAAAAAAAAAAAAAAAAAUCUGUGCGUCCAACUAAAGCUAGUAGUGAAAGUGUGUUAAUUCUUCUCCAGAAAAAGAAAUCUCAAAAUUUAGCAUUUAAAUAACUAGAUAAGAGGAAAAACUAUUAAUGAUCAAUUCAGUACAUCAUUAAUUCGUACUCAUUUGUUUUCAGCAUUAUUAAAAUCAAGUGACAGCUUGCUUUUAACACUGGGGUAUUUACAAGGUCUUCUACUGGAAGUAGAUAAUGUGGAUAUGUACUGUGUGGAGAAGUCAAAACAGUCUCUAAAAUGGUAGCUGAUGAAAGUUGUGAAGAGUACUGUUAUUUGGUGGAUGAAUCAAUCAUAGCUCCUAAAAUUCUUCACCGCCUUGUUUCUGUCUUGGUUUGUGUCUUACAACAAAUGCUUGCUUCAUAUGAAGGUGGAAUGUGCAAUUCCAUUUUAGUCUGGUUAAAGAGGAUUUCCUUUCCAAACAGAAAGGGGACUGGUUAAGUUUUGUUCUUCUUAAAAUUCUUAGUUCUAAGGCUCCAUAGAAAAUUGAAAAAUGCUACCGUGAUACUGUAAUUUGUACAACAAUCCUGAAAGAUUUCUUUAAUUUCACAAAUAUGAUUGAAAUGGAAUCUUAAUGUCUACACCUGUGGGAAUUGGUUGUAUUUAAUAGUCUUAAAUUUAAAGAUUCUAUAGCACCUCUCUAAUCUUUUGUCUAACUCUUUACUGACUCCUUGUCCAACAUGUUUGAGCUUGUCUCCACACACUUCAAAUAAACAUCUGGGGUUUCUU